rnacentral:rRNA from 1 species
CGCCUACGGGACGCAGCAGUAGGGAGUCUUCGGCAAUGGGCGAAAGCUUGACCGAGCAACGCCGCGUGAAUGAAGAAGGCCUUCGGGUUGUAAAAUUCUGUUCUAAGGGAAGAAAGGUGAUAGGAGGAAAUGACUAUCAAUUGACGGUACCUUAUGAGAAAGCCACGGCUAACUACGUGCCAGCAGCCGUGGUAAUACGUAGGUGGCAAGCGUUAUCCGGAAUUAUUGGGCGUAAAGAGCGCGCAGGUGGUUAAUUAAGUCUGAUGUGAAAGCCAACGGCUUAACCGUGGAGGUUCAUUGGAAAC